AGUGCCUGCAGAAAGACAUGCCUCAGUCACACUACCACAAGGGUGUUAAUGGAAGAAAGGAAAGACCCUUUAUCUGCCCUGGCAAGAGAAUAUGGAGGCUCCAAAAGAAAUGCCUUGCUGAAGUGGUGCCAGAAGAAAACAGAAGGAUAUCAGCUCACAAUACAGGAGGAAGCUGAAAGCCACAAAACAGGAUGGUUGACCAUCCAUAGGAAAAGUCAUCUUUCGGUACAAUGGAGAAGCUUGUGCUAUAAGCCCCAGGUGCCCCUCCCCCUCUUCCUGUG